UCCUACGCCUGCUAAAUUAGGUUAUUGGUUUAGGCCCAAGGUGAACUCAGGAAGAGUCUUCCAUCGCAUGACAGAAGCAUCAAGCAAAGCUAGCUAUUGUCACAAACUCUUCGAUCAGGCAUUCUGUCCUUUUAUCAAGCAUAUCAUAAGAUGACUGACAAAGUGGAGGUGACUGGUGCAGGUGAUAACCCACAGAUGAUUCUAACAGGGAAGAAGUCAGGGAAAGCAUCGCUGCUGGACAGUGGGGAAGACUUUGAGAUGUUGGAUGAUGAUGAAAUUGAUGAUGACCCUCCUUUGGAAGAUGCUGGGGGUGGGAAGAAGACUAAAAAAGAGCCUGCAGAGGACCAAGAUGCUAGCCCUUCAUCUUUAGUAGAUGAGUGGAUGGAUAUACUAGGUAAUGGCCAGCUAAGGAAGAAAGUUCUGCGGGCAGGGAAUGGGCCAGACAGCAGGCCCACAAAAGGCCAGAAUGUCGUGAUUCACCUGAAGACUUCACUGGCUGAUGGGACUCUUAUAGAAGAGCAACCGGAGCUGUCUUUCACUCUGGGAGAUGGUGAUGUCAUCCAGGCUCUGGAUCUCACAGUGCAGCUCAUGGAAAUGGGGGAGACGGCCCUCGUCCAAGCCGAUGCUAAAUAUGCAUAUGGUGCCCUGGGGAGCCUUGCCCCUGAGGUGCUUCCCAGUGCUGAUCUGGCCCUGGAGGUACAGCUGCUGGAUGCCACUGAGGCCCCUGACCUUGAGCUCCUCUCCCCCCAGGAGAGGGUUGCCCUGGCUGGGCAGAAGAGGGAGAGGGGGAAUGUCUACUACCAAAGAGGAGACUACGCCUUCGCUGUAAACUCUUAUGGCUUUGCCCUGCAGAUCACCGAGUCCAGUUCUAAAGUGGACAUUAGCCCGGAGGAAGAGGAGGAGCUGAUGGACAUUAAGGUGAAGUGUCUAAACAACAUGGCAGCUGCCCAGCUCAAGUUGGAUCACUACGAAGCAGCACUACGGUCCUGUGUUUCAGUGCUGGCCCACCAGCCAGACAACAUCAAAGCCCUAUUCCGCAAAGGCAAGGUAUUGGCCUUGCAAGGAGAAUAUGCUGACGCUAUAAGGAAUUUGAAGAUGGCCCUGAAGUUGGAACCAAGCAACAAGUUCUUUCUGACAUCCACCAGGUGGUGCCACAUUCUCUAAUAUUGGUGAUGAAGGAAACCAGGUGGACUGCAGACUCAUUUUGGUGGAUCUGAUUUCGUGUUGUUGCUGUAAAUAGGUUGGUUUAUCGAUGCCCAGGUGAUAUCUAAGCAUUGCUUAGACAUGUUGCUCCCUGCACAGGGAGAACCAGGGUGAACCACAGCGCGUUUGCUACUUGGACCAUCUGCAUGUUAAUACUUAACACUCAUGACCACCACCCCACUCACUCCUGCCACCUCAGUAUUUUUUCAGUCCAACACACCAAUGUGAAAUCAUGCUCUGACAGAAUGCCUUAUACAAUUGUCCCAUACAGUUUUUUUCUUCUUCUUGGACACUAAUGUAGUGCAUGAGUGUGUUGGGCUGGUAGUUGUUCAUAUGUUGACAUUUUCUAUUAGCAUUAGACAAGCUCUUGCAUUCUGAGCUGCAGGGUGCACCACAGAGUUGGUUACACCAUCUCAAGUGUGGCUGCCUGGGAAUGUUUUUGCUGAAGUGUUUUAGAUUAGGAGCAGUAAACCAUUACAAGUAGAAUCUCAAUGGUCUAGAUUAGAAGAUUGCAUAUUUAUAUGCAAAAAUUGUGGUCCACUCCCUACUUUUAAUUUUUUAAGGAUGUUAGGGUUUUCUUGUCUGAAUUCAUUAAUUUAAUUAACACAAUUUGCCUUUAUCUUCUCUCUACAAAAGUUUUUGUAAAAUGGGGAAAGAUGACAAGAACUGCAGCAGUUAUGUAAUUUCUGUCCUCAAACAUUACUAUUGUGUACAUGACCAGAAGUAUCGGCUGAUUUGAACAUGGGAAUGCCAAGGGGGGCCCUGUAGAAACCUGAUAUUGUGAAGCACCCAUUUAAUCUUGUCAGCAGUGGGAGAUGAAACCCUAAGAGCGGAGACUUACCCAAACUCUCUACCCUCCUCUGUCCACAACACAGUGCUUGUAAGUGGCUCGUUGGAAGCUGUAAUGGACAUUUUGGCCAGUACUGUGAAAAUGUCCUAAAUUUCCCACUCACAAACCCUUGAGACGAAUGACUAAGACCUGAUAUGAGGGGGCUGCUUCAUGCAGGGAAGCUGUUAACUUACUACCCUUUUGUUGGCUGGAUUUGUAUUGGCACGAAUAUUCAUUUUACAAUGGCAUCAAUUGCUAAUAAUCAAGCCACCUGCAGUUAACAGAACACCUGACUAUUAUGGUGCAUAGGGAAUGGGUUGUCAUCAGUGAAUGUGUUUUUAUAUACACAGGCUAUGUGAUUGUGGGAAGGGGGUAGAGUAGUACGCCUGCAGCUUAUUCUCACACUUUGCUGUCUCCUGGGUUAGACCAUCCACUCAGAACUCUCCAAGCUGGUGAAGAAGCACUCUGAGCAGAAAGACGCCGAGCAGGCCAUGUACAAGAAGAUGCUAGGCAACCCAGGCAGCGGUGGCAUGCAGAAACACCAGGCCAGGUCAUCAUGGGGUGUCAGCUGGAAAUGGCUGUUCGGUGCCACGGCUGUAGCCAUCGGAGGUGUCGCCUUGUCAGUUGUCAUAGCUGCCAGAAAUUAGAUAGGACAAAUACUUUUUCUGGUGAUUGCCUGCACCCUCCACAGUGGGACCUCACAAAAAGCAACUGGAUAUCUGGCAGUGCCUGUUGGAACUGGUAAAAAAAAAAAGUGUGAAGGAAAUGGCUUUAUCUGCCACAACCUUUAGUGUGACGGUCCAUAAGUUUCUCACACUGUUCUGUCACUGCUUGGGAGAAUUAUGACAAAUACUAUACAAUAAACAUUUGUAUAUAAAUAGUACUUACCACUUUUUAAAUGUGCAUAUGGCCAUUUAUUUCCAGAGACAAAUUGUCAAUUGCUCCUAUAUGGUAAUGAUUCUAAAUAUAAAUUGAGCACUCUGAAAUGAGAAUUCUAUGAAUGAUCGGUCAAAGUUAUUUAAAAUUAGCGAAUGUGAUAUGGUCCUAUAUUUUUAAAGCAUAUGAUUGUGCAAUUAUUUGCAUUCUGCUUUUGCUCUUUUACUGGGACAGUGCCAAUGAUGGGUAUGAGAUGAAUCUAGAUGCUGUAUUAUCUGGCCCUGGGAUCCACAGUCUUGGUUGACGGAAACUGUCACAUUCUUUUAAAUGGCAGAAAGAAGAAACUAAGUCAAUGGAGAAUACCUCACUUUUGAUAAUUCUGAAGGGUGUACCUUCUAAAUCCAAUUUUAGGUCAGUUUAACAAAACAUCUAUUUGAUAAUCUAUCAUUUUGUUAAAUUCAGGAUACUUGUUAUAUUCAUGAUAUGUGUUAUAUUCAUGAUACUUCUCACCAAAUGAGAAGUAUCAUGUUUUCUCUACAACAGACUAUAUGUAAAAAGACAGUGGUUGAGUUUGAGUUUCUCACAUUCCUUUAUUUGUUAAUUUUGUAUUUAUUUAAAUAAAAGUGUGUCAAUUCUGGUACUAUGAGCCACACCCUUUUUUGUAUAAUUAACCUUUUGGUAUCUAAUCUUUAAAAUGUCUUGUCACCCGUACAACUGUCAAUCUCUGACAGGUUGGGAGCACUUCAUCUGUUAUUACAGUACAUGGACUCAACGCCUACACACUUAAGUCAAAUGAGAGCUUGUUACUGUAAAUGGAUUUGUUUGUCUAUUUUAUGUUUGACACUACGCUCCUUUUCAAUAUAAACAAUAUCUGUCAGACGACAGGUACUCAUUUGCUUAGAGCAGGGGUGUCAAAUUCAUUCCGUUGAGGGCAGUGCUUUUUCUUUCAAUGUGUGUCCAAUUAAGCGCUAUACAGCCAGUUGAGGGGAAUUCCUAACUAAUCCGUGAUCUUAAUUCAUCAAUCAAGUACAAUGGAGCGACCCUCCGUGGAACGAGGUUGGAUCUAUUUUGCUGGUUGGCUUUACAGCUAGCAAACUAGAGCAUUUUUUUUUUGUACCAAUUUGUUAUUGACUGGACAUUCCCAACUCAAGGAUUCAGUCAGACGUUGAGUAGUUCAGUUACCUAGUGUUUCCCUCUUCCUUGCAGAUCUCUGGUGUGUAUCAUCUGUACCCUGGUAGCCACUGACUAGACAUGUUUCAUGUUUUUAAUGAUUCACAUUCUAUUCUCAAUGCCUCAUAUUUAAGUAAAUAAACCGUUUAUGAUUAAUCCUCCUUA